UACGAAGGACCCGAGCGUUAUCCGGAUUUAUUGGGUUUAAAGGGUGCGUAGGCGGAUUAGUAAGUCAGUGGUGAAAGCCCAUCGCUUAACGGUGGAACUGCCAUUGAUACUGCUAGUCUUGAGUAUGGUUGAGGUGGGCGGAAUGUGUCAUGUAGCGGUGAAAUGCUUAGAUAUGACAUAGAACACCCAUUGCGAAGGCAGCUUACUACACGAUCAUUGACGCUGAGGCACGAAAGCGUGGGGAGCAAACAGG
rnacentral:rRNA from 1 species